AUUAUUAAAGAAUUUCGGUUAUCGAUGGGGAUGCGUUCCAUUAGGCAGUUGGUGGGGUAACGGCCCACCAAACCUUCGAUGGAUAGGGGUUCUGAGAGGAAGGUCCCCCACAUUGGAACUGAGACACGGUCCAAACUCCUACGGGAGGCAGCAGUGAGGAAUAUUGGUCAAUGGACGAGAGUCUGAACCAGCCAAGUAGCGUGAAGGAUGACUGCCCUAUGGGUUGUAAACUUCUUUUAUAUGGGAAUAAAGUGGUCCACGUGUGGAUUUUUGUAUGUACCAUAUGAAUAAGGAUCGGCUAACUCCGUGCCAGCAGCCGCGGUAAUACGGAGGAUCCGAGCGUUAUCCGGAUUUAUUGGGUUUAAAGGGAGCGUAGGUGGACAGUUAAGUCAGUUGUGAAAGUUUGCGGCUCAACCGUAAAAUUGCAGUUGAUACUGGCUGUCUUGAGUACAGUAGAGGUGGGCGGAAUUCGUGGUGUAGCGGUGAAAUGCUUAGAUAUCACGAAGAACUCCGAUUGCGAAGGCAGCUCACUGGACUGCAACUGACACUGAUGCUCGAAAGUGUGGGUAUCAAACAGGAUUAGAUACCCUGGUAGUCCACACAGUAAACGAUGAAUACUCGCUGUUUGCGAUAUACAGUAAGCGGCCAAGCGAAAGCAUUAAGUAUUCCACCUGGGGAGUACGCCGGCAACGGUGAAACUCAAAGGAAUUGACGGGGGCCCGCACAAGCGGAGGAACAUGUGGUUUAAUUCGAUGAUACGCGAGGAACCUUACCCGGGCUUAAAUUGCAUUUGAAUAUAUUGGAAACAGUAUAGCCGUAAGGCAAAUGUGAAGGUGCUGCAUGGUUGUCGUCAGCUCGUGCCGUGAGGUGUCGGCUUAAGUGCCAUAACGAGCGCAACCCUUAUCUUCAGUUACUAACAGGUCAUGCUGAGGACUCUGGAGAGACUGCCGUCGUAAGAUGUGAGGAAGGUGGGGAUGACGUCAAAUCAGCACGGCCCUUACGUCCGGGGCUACACACGUGUUACAAUGGGGGGUACAGAAGGCCGCUACCUGGUGACAGGAUGCUAAUCCCAAAAGCCUCUCUCAGUUCGGAUCGAAGUCUGCAACCCGACUUCGUGAAGCUGGAUUCGCUAGUAAUCGCGCAUCANCCAUGGCGCGGUGAAUACGUUCCCGGGCCUUGUACACACCGCCCGUCAAGCCAUGAAAGCCGGGGGUACCUGAAGUA
rnacentral:rRNA from 1 species